rnacentral:rRNA from 1 species
CCUACGGGUGGCAGCAGUGAGGAAUAUUGGUCAAUGGGCGGGAGCCUGAACCAGCCAAGUCGCGUGAGGGAAGACGGUCCUAUGGAUUGUAAACCUCUUUAGGCGGGGAGCAAUGCCGGGCACGCGUGCCCGGAGGCAGAGUACCCGCAGAAUAAGCAUCGGCUAACUCCGUGCCAGCAGCCGCGGUAAUACGGGGGAUGCGAGCGUUAUCCGGUUUUAUUGGGUUUAAAGGGUGCGUAGGCGGAUUUUUAAGUCAGCGGUAAAAUGUCCGGGCUCAACCCGGGCCGGCCGUUGAAACUGGGGGUCUUGAGUGGGGGAGAAGUAGGCGGAAUUCGUGGUGUAGCGGUGAAAUGCAUAGAUAUCACGCAGAACUCCGAUUGCGAAGGCAGCAUACCGGCGCCCGACUGACGCUGAGGCACGAAAGCGUGGGGAUCGAACAGGAUUAGAUACCCUUGUAGUC